rnacentral:rRNA from 1 species
AACGAACGCUGGCGGCAUGCCUAACACAUGCAAGUCGAACGAGACCUUCGGGUCUAGUGGCGCACGGGUGCGUAACGCGUGGGAAUCUGCCCUGGGGUGCGGAAUAACUCGGAGAAAUCCGUGCUAAUACCGCAUAAUGUCUUCGGACCAAAGAUUUAUCGCCCUGGGAUGAGCCCGCGUAGGAUUAGCUAGUUGGUGGGGUAAAGGCCUACCAAGGCGACGAUCCUUAGCUGGUCUGAGAGGAUGAUCAGCCACACUGGGACUGAGACACGGCCCAGACUCCUACGGGAGGCAGCAGUGGGGAAUUUUGCUCAAUGGGGGAAACCCUGAAGCAGCGAUGCCGCGUGGAGGACGAAGGUCUUCGGAUUGUAAACUCCUUUUGCUGGUGAAAAAUAGCGGCGUGAAUAACGCCGACUGAUGGUAACCGGCGAAUAAGCCACGGCUAACUUCGUGCCAGCAGCCGCGGUAAU